GUGGGCGAGCGCCCGUGAAUCCCAGCACCGGGGAAGAGGAACCUGGAGAGCCAUCAGUUCCACGGCAGCCUGGGCUGAAUAGUGAGAUCCUGUCUUUAGAUUCACCAACGAGCCAAGUCCGGUCGUCAAGAUAGAGAAAAAUGGGCGGCAGAUGUGCGUGCUUUGCAGAGCGAAGGACUUGCUGAUAGCGGAAGGAGACGAAGAAGAACCUGAAGUGCUUGUUGGUUUCCGACACCCAGAUGUUCAGUGAUACUAUUUACAGAGUGAGGUGUGGAGAGAGCCUUAGAUUGGGUGCAUACACAGGAAACGAUAAUAUAAAUUGCUACAACAACAGA